UGACGGUGCAGACGCAUCCGGGCAGGCUCUCUGCAAGAAAUGUAAAAAGCAAACUAACAGUGGCCCCAAAUGUAUUACAUGUGGAGCCAAUUAUCAUACAAGUUGUGCUAAGCUUAUAAAAAAAGCCAAGUUUAUAAACGAUAACGAAGUUAACUGUUGUGCUGUGAGUGAUACCGGCGAAAUUAGUGAUUGCGAAUCUCUUGCUCAAAGUGAAGAUACGUUUAGCUCCCUCAGGAACGAAAUCAAGUACCUCAAGACAAUUAUCGAUCACAAAGAUCGCUCAGAGAGGUAAUCGAAGGCCAACUUAAAAACGAUCGCGAUAAUGGAAGAGAAGUUCGCGAAAAAGUGAAUGCAGGUAAACAAGCCUGGCUUAUCAACAGCGAUGAACCUCCGAAAGUACCUUUCAACUUGCAACGUCCUGCGACGAUGAUGGAUAAGGGUUUGCCAAAUUCCAAAAACCUGACAAAAAAUAGGGACAGAACAUUUCCUCCCACAUUACAAGUAACAAUUCCUUCAACUUCCGGAGUCUCUACCGCUGAUACCAACACAAAAACGCCGCAGAGUGAUAAAGAGGACGGCUUCAUUCUGGUCCAAAACAAAAAAAAGAAGGCAUCCGCGUCUACCAAAGUGGCCCCACAGAGCUUACAAGCAACUAAACCGAUCUCGGGAGCUUCUAGAAAAAAACCAAUGAUUGGCUCAUCAGCCAGUACUGUUUUAAAAAGCGUUCCUAAAUCAGCUCAUCUUCACUUGUCUAGAUUAGAUACGGACACCAAGGUCGAGAAUAUCCUGGACUAUAUCAAGCCCCAUGUGUCCAAAGCAAACUGCGAAAGACUACAAUCGAAAAAUCCAACCCUAUACUCGUCAUUCAAGCUAUCUGUGCCACUAGGAGAACUUGAGCAAGUCAUGAAUUCUUCCAUCUGGCCCUGUGGAGUUACUAUAAAUCGUUUUUUCUUCAGGCGCCCCCAAAACAACAAUCCACCAAACCAGAGUGUAGUGGCGUAACUGUGUUAAAUUUAUAUCACCUUAAUAUUCAAAGCUUAAAAAACAAAAUUUUAGAUCUAGAAGCCUUUUUGCUGUCCGAUGGCCCUUUUGAAGUACUAUGUAUCAAUGAGCAUUGGAUGACGGCUAAUGAAAUCGAGGUUCUUAAAUUAGGAAAUUAUUGUACAGUUUCUAGCUUUUGCAGAACUUUGCGCUAUCAUGGUGGAGUAAGUAUUUUUGUUCAUAAUUCCAUGACUCAUUGCAAAUCUUUGAGUUUUGAUAGUAUUGAGUUUGAUUUUGAAGUUUCUGGAUGUUUAUUAAAUGACAACUUAAAUGUAGUUACAUUGUAUCGUUCACCUUCGGGGAAUUUUGAUGUUUUUCUGAAAAAAUUAAAUUUAAUGCUUUCGUCUUUAACCAAAACCAAUAAUAAAAUUAUUGUAACAGGCGAUUUCAAUGUGAAAUUUGGCACUUCGGAUAAGCUUGCUGUUGCUUUGGUUAAUACUUUUCUUUCAUAUGGUUUAUACUCAACUGUUUUUACUCCAACUCGAGGAAAUUCCUGCCUAGAUAACAUUUUCACUAACUUUCAAAUCAAUGAUUAUCAAGUAACAACUCAUGAUCCAGGAUUAUCUGAUCAUUGUGGUGUAUGUAUGAGUGUCUUUGUUCCUACUUCGUCUCUAGUGGCAAAUGAAAGUUCUAAUACCAAAUAUAGACCUAUAACUGCUUUAGGAUUAUUCCACCUAUAUAACUUUAUUGAAAAUAUCAACUGGGAUUUUAUCAACAAUACUAACAAUGAUGUUGAAGACUUAUUUACUCAAUUUAACAGUAUUCUAGUACAUUAUGUAUCUAUUUGUUUUCCUGAAAAAAUUUUAUCCACUCGAGCAUCAAAAAAUUGGUUUAAUGACAAUUUGCGAUCUUUACGUAACAUGCAAACUCUGCUUUUUCAACUUCAAAACAAACAGAUUAUUGAUAAAGAGGUUUACACUGAUUUCAGAAAAUUCUAUCGCAGUGAAAUUGCAAAAGCUAUAGUUAAAUUUCAUGAUAACAUGAUCAACAACGUCCCUAACAAACAAAAAGCAUUGUGGGAUAUUGUCAACACAAAGAGAAAAAAUUCUGUUAAAUUGCCUACGAAUCUGUCGCCUGACACUAUCAAUAACUAUUUCACUAACAUUGCUGCCAAUACAAUUAACGCGUUACCCAAAACAUCA